rnacentral:misc_RNA from 1 species
GUCAUUGCAUAGGACGCCUUAUUUUUAUUUAUUCAUGUUUGCUCAUUUCUUUAACUUUCAUAUUUAUUUGUUUGCUUAUAAAACAAAAUAAACAUAGAAUAAGGUUUUGGAUGUGAAAAUUUGUUUUGUGGUUAUCGUACUGAUUGGGUUUUUCAAUUUGAAGCUCUUAUUAUUGGAUUUGGAUGACAUUAAUGAAAAUUGAG